AUUCUAGGAUCGGGGGACGAGUCUCCACCUCAAGGUUGGGAAGGAGGUUUUUCGCUUUUGUCUUUUGGAUCUCUAAGGUAACUGAAGUAGAGUUUUGGUCCACUACUGGUCUGACAGGCUGUAGGAGUUGGGAUGCGGGUCGACUUGGUGUCCUUUUGGCAUAGUACAUUUUGUGAUAUCAAUUUUUGGAGAGUUGUCGUAUCAUAUAUGGAUGCAACUCAUCUUGUAUAGUUCUCUUUGCAAAUUUUAUUUUGGAAGCCAUAUGUAAUCUAUUUAGUCUACUUUGUCUUGCGUUUA